rnacentral:rRNA from 1 species
UACGAGAGGCCCAAACGUUAUUCGGAAUUACUGGGCUUAAAGAGUUCGUAGGCGGCAUGAAAAGUAGGGUGUGAAAGCCCUCGGCUCAACCGAGGAAUCGCGCUCUAAACUGUCAUGCUCGAGGAAUCUAGAGGUGAGCGGAACUGAUGGUGGAGCGGUGAAAUGCGUUGAUAUCAUCAGGAACACCGGAGGCGAAGGCGGCUCACUGGGGAUUUUCUGACGCUGAGGAACGAAAGCCAGGGGAGCGAACGGG